GCGGAUCUCGAAAGCCUGUCCCAGUUCGGACNGGAGUCUGCAACCCGACUCCACGAAGUUGGAUUCGCUAGUAAUCGCGCAUCAGCCAUGGCGCGGUGAAUACGUUCCCGGGCCUUGUACACACCGCCCGUCAAGCCAUGGGAGCCGGGGGCGCCUGAAGUCCGGGACCGCGAGGACCGGCCUAGGGCGAAACUGGUAACUGGGGCUAAGUCGUAACAAGGUACC
rnacentral:rRNA from 1 species